UUCUUCACUGGCUGCUGAGGUGGAGGUGCUCGCUCUGAAAAUUCCAACCUCCUAUUUGGGUAAGUGGAGCCAAAAUUGUAAAGGUGAAUCAAAUUCAGUGAGUUCGAGUCUAAGCUGGGUGCCUCAACCUCCUCAAGAAUAGGAUGGUACCUAAGAGGGAGAAAGCUCCCAAAUGUUAGUGAAGACAAUGAACAACUAUUCUGUCUUUUGGGAUAACCAAUUUCAUCGACGACCCCAUGGUUUUUCUGGUGGAAUCCAUGGGAGUUACAAAAGGUG
rnacentral:lncRNA from 1 species